rnacentral:rRNA from 1 species
AGUGAACGCUGGCGGUAGGCCUAACACAUGCAAGUCGAACGGCAGCACAGUAAGAGCUUGCUCUUACGGGUGGCGAGUGGCGGACGGGUGAGGUAUACAUCGGAAUCUACUUUUUCGUGGGGGAUAACGUAGGGAAACUUACGCUAAUACCGCAUACGACCUACGGGUGAAAGCAGGUGAUCUUCGGACUUUGCGCGAUUGAAUGAGCCGAUGUCGGAUUACCUAGUUGGCGGGGUAAAGGCCCACCAAGGCGACGAUCCGUAGCUGGUCUGAGAGGAUGAUGAGCCACACUGGAACUGAGACACGGUCCAAACUCCUACGGGAGGCAGAAGGGGGGAAUAUUGGACAAUGGGCGAAGGCCUGAUCCAGCCAUACCGCGGGGGUGAAGAAGGCCUUCGGGUUUUAAAGCCCUUUUGUUGGGAAAAAAAAGCAGCAGGUUAAUACCCCGAUGUUCUGACGGUACCCAAAGAAUAAGCACCGGCUAACUUCGUG